rnacentral:rRNA from 1 species
GAUGAACGCUGGCGGCGUGCCUAAUACAUGCAAGUCGAGCGAACAGACGAGGAGCUUGCUCCUCUGACGUUAGCGGCGGACGGGUGAGUAACACGUGGAUAACCUACCUAUAAGACUGGGAUAACUUCGGGAAACCGGAGCUAAUACCGGAUAAUAUAUUGAACCGCAUGGUUCAAUAGUGAAAGACGGUUUUGCUGUCACUUAUAGAUGGAUCCGCGCCGCAUUAGCUAGUUGGUAAGGUAACGGCUUACCAAGGCAACGAUGCGUAGCCGACCUGAGAGGGUGGUCCGCCCAACCUGAACCUGAGCCCCGUCCAGGCUCCUACGGGAAGCAGCAGUAGGGGAUCUUCCGCAAUGGGCCGAAGCCUGACGGAGCAACGCCGCGUGAGUGAUGAAGGUCUUCGGAUCGUAAAACUCUGUUAUUAGGGAAGAACAAAUGUGUAAGUAACUAUGCACGUCUUGACGGUACCUAAUCAGAAAGCCACGGCUAACUACGUG